rnacentral:RNase_P_RNA from 1 species
GAAGUCGGCCAGGCAACCGCUGCAGGCGUCGCGUCCGGGCAGAAAUGCACGGCACGGCGGCUGGGGAGGAAAGUCCGGGCUCCACAGGGCAGGGCGCCAGGUAACGCCUGGGGGGCGUGAGCCCACGGAAAGUGCAACAGAGAGCAGACCGCCGAAGCGCCGGACGCGAGUCCGGGGCUGGCAAGGGUGAAACGGUGCGGUAAGAGCGCACCGCGGUCCGGGCAACCGGAACGGCACGGCAAACCCCGCCCGGAGCAAGGCCAAAUAGGGAAACGGGCGGUACGACGCGUCCGCGAGGACGAGGCGAACCGCAGCGCACGGCCCGUGCGCGUUUCCGGGUAGGCCGCUCGAGGUGCACGGCGACGUGCAUCCCAGAGGAAUGGUUGUCCUCGACAGAACCCGGCUUAUCGGCCGACUUCCUUC